rnacentral:rRNA from 1 species
UACGUGAGCAGCAAGCGUUGUUCGGAGUACUGGGCGUAAAGAGUGCGUAGGCGGAUACUUAAGUCAGGGGUGAAAUCCCGGGGCUCAACCCCGGAACUGCCUUUGAUACUGGGUAUCUCGAGUCCGGAAGAGGUGAGUGGAAUUCCGAGUGUAGAGGUGAAAUUCGUAGAUAUUCGGAGGAACACCAGUGGCGAAGGCGGCUCACUGGUCCGGUACUGACGCUGAGGUGCGAAAGCGUGGGGAGCAAACAGG